rnacentral:rRNA from 1 species
UACGUAGGGGGCUAGCGUUGUCCGGAUUUAUUGGGCGUAAAGAGCGUGUAGGCGGCCAGAUAGGUCCGUUGUGAAACCUGGAGGCUUAAACUCCAGCCGUCGAUGGAAACCAUCUGGCUAGAGUCCGGAAGAGGAGAGUAGAAUUCCUGGUGUAGCGGUGAAAUGCGCAGAUAUCAGGAAGAACACCCGUGGCGAAGGCGGCUCUCUGGGACGGUACUGACGCUGAGACGCGAAAGCGUGGGGAGCGAACAGG